GAUGAACGCUGGCGGCGUGCCUAAUACAUGCAAGUCGAGCGAACAGAUGAGGAGCUUGCUCCUCUGACGUUAGCGGCGGACGGGUGAGUAACACGUGGAUAACCUACCUAUAAGACAGGGAUAACUUCGGGAAACCGGAGCUAAUACCGGAUAAUAUAUUGAACCGCAUGGUUCAAUAGUGAAAGACGGUUUUGCUGUCACUUAUAGAUGGAUCCGCGCCGCAUUAGCUAGUUGGUAAGGUAACGGCUUACCAAGGCAACGAUGCGUAGCCGACCUGAGAGGGUGAUCGGCCACACUGGAACUGAGACACGGUCCAGACUCCUACGGGAGGCAGCAGUAGGGAAUCUUCCGCAAUGGGCGAAAGCCUGACGGAGCAACGCCGCGUGAGUGAUGAAGGUCUUCGGAUCGUAAAACUCUGUUAUUAGGGAAGAACAAAUGUGUAAGUAACUAUGCACGUCUUGACGGUACCUAAUCAGAAAGCCACGGCUAACUACGUG
rnacentral:rRNA from 1 species